ACCCACCUCGGCCUCCCGAAGUACUGGGAUUACAGGCGUGAGCCACCGCGUCUGACCUACUAUUCUUUUUGAAAUCUCAGACCCAUUUCCUAAUUCUCUAUUGUUUUUCUUGAAAUCAUUCUUAUCAUCUGUCAUUGUGUCUAUCUUCAGCAGCAACUCCUCCAUCCCCAAUUUAAUAUGCUACAUGGAAUUCACCACCUUUCAAGUCACGUACUAUCUACGUCUAUUAGAGUGGUGUCCAAAGUAAGAGUUAAUAGGCGUAGAGUAAAGGCCUGAAAUAGUUUUGUGUAUAUCAAACAUUAUGUGCUUUAGCGCUGGCAUUUCUAUUAUCAGUUCUGGCCUCUGAUAUUUCUUGCUCCAUUCCUGGUUCUAUUCUGGGACCCAGCAGUGGAGGUUGCCAGGUAAUGAACCUCAGAUCCAGAUAGCUGGUGCUGUGCAUGGCACUGCUGGAAUGGUCUUUCCUGAAGACAGUGAAGGAGUGGAUUAUCUAUGACGGUAAGUACUGGCCUACAGGCCCAUGACAGCUCUUCCUCCAUUGCAACCCCUUUCUGGGGCAUUUACCACAUGCCACCUGUGUUUCAAAAGCAGGUGAUCAUGGAAUCCCCCAGAGCAGAAGCCACAUCCUACUUGUCUCUGUGUCCCCUGAAGCCCACACUAGAGUGCCAGGCACACAGUAGGCACUCACUAAGUUAUAUGCAUAGAAUGAAAAGAUUUUCCUGGUUGCCCUUAUUGUGUAUACACAGCCUAUCUAUAGAAGAAUACGAGUCUAUAAGCUUCUGAAUAUAGAAUAUUUUAUAUCAAACUGCUGGAAAGUAUUUUCAAAGGAUUAAAGUUGUCUUUUCAAGGAACAGUUUCCAUUCUUUUUAAGCUUGAGUUUAUUUCUGAACUGUGCUUUCAUAAAGUCAUGGUGACUAAAUUAGGGGGACAAAGCCAAGUGACCACCAGAGAAAACAUAUCUUUGUGAUACUGAGCUGAUUACCUUAGUGAUUCCCCCUAGGUCUAUUCCAUUGUUUUACCAAAUAUCUAAUGACCACAUUCCCAGCCAGAAGUGUCUGUGGAUGUGCACACUGGUUGUUCUCCAUCCCAACCCUCCCCUUGGCUCUCUGCCCUCAGUGUUCCGGUCCCUGAUCUCCAUGCUCUGCCCUCUGCCUUCAAGUUGGGAUGGCCAAUGAGAGGCGCUGCCAAAAGGUGCUUGGAUGGGAGGAGAGAGAAGAUGGUGUAUUUCUCCUUCACUUUCUCCCUGCUUUAGGUCCCUCCACGACCAAUGCUCCUGCUCGAUGGCCUCUCCUCCAAAGCUCCAAAUCUCCCUGGGAUCCAUUUUCCUGUUUUCCCCUCUUGCCUCUUCAAGCACAGGGUGGUAAAGGCGUAUUGCAGUUGCUAAUUUCUAGGUGCCUCAGCAUUCCUUGUUGGUUCCCUUAACCCCACCCACACCUCUCAAAGUGAUCUCUUCAUUCAAAUCUUUUUAUCUGAACCAUCUGAGUUGCUUCUUUAUUCUGCUGUUGCCCUGAUUGGUACAGUCUGCAAAAACCUUACCUAAGAGAUAGCUAUGCUGUGCCAGGGCGCUCUCCAAGACAAAGAGUUCAAAAGAAAACCAGAGGUUCUUUUCUCUCUAGUUUUCUGAACUCCUUAACCACUUUGGUGCUAUUUACAUUAAGUAAUGCAAAAUGUUGGUAAACCCCAGUUUGUAGAUGAGACGCUUUUAUUUAUUCAUUCAUCAAAUAUUUAUUGAUUACUAUGUGCCAGGCACUGUUCUGACCCUGGGAAAACAGUAAAGUACAAGAGAGACACAUGCCCUGCCCACACGGUGCUUAUAGGGUAAGGCCACUGUCUCUCAGAAGUCAGAGAGCUCAUCAGAGGCAGGGCUGGAACCAGAUAACUGAGUUUCCUUAACUCCUAACCUUCAGCAGAUUAUCAAAGGAAUCUAUGACCCAAACAUGAUUAAGAACCACCAAAUUAGGCCAAAUUAACUCUCAAGCUUCUCCCUUCAACUGGGGAAUAAUGACUACUCACUCCUAGAAGAGGCUUGAUGCUCUUAACUUGAAUUUGCAGGGGUAUGUGGGCACAUACCCACAGUGACACCACCAUGCCACCUUGCCUGCCCACCCUCCUGAAUUCUCCGCAAAUCCGCCCCCGCCUCCUUCUGUUUCUCACACUUUUAUAAUUAGCCCCACACCAGUCUCUGAGUCACUCCCUCACGGCCCACAAACGUUGGCUACACAACUUGCUGAUGAGCUGUUUUUAUCAAUGGACAGCAGUUGGGAGCUGGAUUCAGAGAUGUGCCCUCUCCGAGAGCCUGGCAUUUCUGGCCCUCCCUGUGUUUCCAGCAAAGGCAGUGACGUGAAAUUUCUAUCUCAUUUGAAGUAUUUAUGAGACUCAUGUUGGAGGGCAUAACUAAAACUUCACUGGGGAGAGUCGGGAGCCACUGAGGUGAAUUGAGGGGGGCUGUGAGGGUCUGCCUGCCUCCUUCAAGCCUCCGGAAACAUCUGAGUUUCCUCAGAAAGGUUUAAAUAGGCCAUCCUAGUAAUCCAAUACUUCCCCUGCUCUGGGCCAGACAGGACAAGGGCAACAGCCUGGUGACCUCAGAAAAGGUUGCAGGCUGGCAGAACAGGCCCUUCCCCAAAUCUCCCAGCCUCAUACCCGGGAGACACACUCUGCUCCAGACCUGGCUGUCUCUGUGGAACCCUCUCCACUUCUCCUUUCUCUCUCUCACUUUCUCCUGAGAGAAAGCUCGCUUCUCUCAGGACCUCCAGCUGCCGUGUCUGAGGCUGAAGGGAAGUCGCACCCAGGAAGACAGGGCUGAAGAAAGGGAAAACCUAGUCCUGAGGCUGCAACUGCCCCCCGCUGUCCACCCUCGACCCCACUGUCCCCUGCCACCUGCAUUUUCCCUUUGAGGGACUAUUGUGGCCAUGGAUGCUGCCUGGAUCUGGAAAGAGAUGGAAGAGAGGAAAGUUGUGGCCAUCGUUUACCUGCUGAGAUUGGGAGGACGCUGUUGAUGAAAGUCGGCUGAGACACGAUAGACAGGAAGAAAAGCUGAAGAUAAAUUCCCAAAGUCAUUGGAUUCAGGACAACCAUGCUGGCCAGGGUCUGACUGAGGUAAGUGGCUAGUGAAGAGGUGAUGAGAAGGCAGCCAAGUCUCAGAUGUUCACUGGAGGCCGUCCUCAAGGGCAGAGAGGUUCCUAAUUGGUUAUGCGCCACCAUCUACCUGCUUGGAACUGGGCAGAAACAAUUCUCCUGAUUCAAACCCAAUUUCAUGAAGAAAAACCCCUCCGCUGUCAGCCUGGGACAUUUUUACCCACUGUGUAACAAAUGUAAAGUUGACGUUUAAUUUUUUUCUUUAAUCAUCCAAUAAAAAGGAGGAAGUAGUUUAUAUUUUCAAACAGCUUUCUCUGUGAAAAAGUGUUUCUCUCUCCAAAAGCUGCAACCUUUUGAUUCAAUGCAAGGCAAAAUAAAAGAAAACAGUAAAAGGAUAGAAAAGUGAAUGAUUUUUAUCAAACUAUAUUCAGAAAAAUAACAUCAUUAACUU